AGAGGCGAGUGCGUGGCACAUAAAUUCAGAGGAGGUGGGCGAGGCCGGGGGAAAAAAUAUAACGUAGAGCCUUAAGAAACCCAGGAGCCCGAGCGGCGCUAGGGCAAGAGCGGCCGGGGGCGACGGGGGCGGCUAAGAGGGCCCAAAAGACCAGGUCGGCCCGUGCGUCCGUCCCUCCUGAGCGGUUCUCUUAACGCCACGAAGCCGGUCGUUGUGUGCCCUCCUCCUUUUCCAGUCAGGAGAGGAGUCAACCAAGGAAGCUAGGAAGGAAGGAAGAGGUGAGGGAGUGAACAGAACAAGAGAACAAGAAGUGUGGGGUACCACACCAUCACGAGACGAGGCAGCAGGUACCGGCCAAGACGUACACUCGGAGAGCAGGUACCGGCCGCCGAGACGUAGAAGAAGGGGACAAAGGUGGGCAGAAAAGGGAACUGCUUAAAACUAGACCUAACCAUCCUCCCUAUGUUGUAUCACGGCGGUAGCCCUCAUCCGGCUGUCUCGGCGGCCGGCCGCAUAGUAGGCCCUCUUUCCCCCGGUUCCUUCAUUAGUCGAGACAAGGGGUUCCGUAGAGGAGUGCGUACCGAUCCGGCAUUGCUCUAUGUGGCACGUCUAGUACUUCUAUCUAUUACUUUCCGGAAUGGUAUGGUUACGAAAAGUACUCGAAAAUCCGUCACCGCCGGGAUUUCAUCUGCCACUUAGACUUUCCCUUUGAUUCCUGUUAGAAAACCUUCUAUUUUACCAACUUGUCUGGUUAAGUAGUCUUGUACCAAAACACUUUCGACUCGUACUCUUCCCUCCAUUUUGGUCUGUUUAUGCCUAGCUCCUACAAAGAAUACUGUUCCUACAACAACUCUAGUCGGACGGUUCAAGACACCAAAGAAGCCUAAUACCACCCGUAAAACAGUUCCUACAGACGUAACUACUCCCUCACGAACGACUAGUUUUCCCAAGACCUCUCUUCCAUCAUUCACUUUUCCACACGGGUUAGAAACUAAGAAGUUACCGGCUACGUUUACCACUAGACUUCCUUCUGUAUUCUCAACUAGGACACUUUUGACGUGUAUUCAGUGUCUAUCAAGGGGAAGUACAGCACGUACGAUGACUACCAUUAUGAUACCUUCUUUAUUCUCGGCUAGGAAACUUUUGACUUGUACUUAGUCUCAGUGUUUAACAAUGGGAUGUACAAGGUACACGAUGACUACCAUUAUUCUACCUUGUUAUAAGAAGACCGCUUCGUGUACUAGAACUUCCGUUGUUCUGAUGUCUACUUAAAUGGUUACAUUUGCUACUCUUUAGUUCAGGAUCUGUCAAUGGUUCAGUACUUCGACGUUUUGUCACGGUCGUCCACCCGUGUCAUUAAAGACUCUGGACACUUUGAGUGUUCGGUAAAACGCUACCUCUUCGUUAACUACUCCAUCGUAGUUUACUAACAGUACUUUGACCUAGAUCAUGACGUGGUCUCAGGUCAAGGGAGUCACCAAAUGGUCAACUUAGUUGAAGACUACCCGAUAGUCGACGUUAAGGACUUCUUCUACCACGUCUUAAUCUAUUGUCUCCUAACUUAGGUCGAUUAGUGAUGUUGGGAAAAUAGCGGAUGCCUAGAAAUCUCCUGUGUACCCUUAGGUUCAUGCGAGAUGGAUGGUAACAGCUGCUACAAAGACAACAUGGGUACACAGGACAACCUUUCUGUCUAUCAAAGUCACUAUAACAGUUGCCACCGCGUGACCCUCCAAAACUAAUACAACUCUGUCGACUUAGGUCUUAACCUCUGUCAUCAUCCAAUCUAAGACAACCUCGUGCAAGUUCGUCCGACCCUCAGGUUCGUAGACUUCUCUCGGUACUAGUUCCUCCAGAACAGCUUUCUUGUCUAUCAAAAUCACUGUAGUAGUUCCCACGUGGUCCAUCUAAACUAAGACAACGUCGUCUACUUUGGUCUUAGUUUGUGUUAUCUGAUCUAAGAUAUCUUCUUUCAAGUCCGUCCAACCUACAGGUUCGUAGACUUCUCUCGUCACUAGUCUCUCUACAGCCAUUGUUCUACUCUUAACUACCUCGUGUACCACGUCUCGGAUCACUACAGUUCUCACUCUUGGUAGGCUUCACGCUCUGGCCACGACAGCUUCUACUUGUACUGAAGUUGGGUUCUCUGUACCCCCUACCGUGUUUCUGUUCCCUCCUUUCGUUGCCGCCGCUUCUCUCGAGAUGCCAAAGCGUUUGCCUCAGCCGCCAUGUCGUCUUACCUGGACUACCGCGUUUCAACUGCUGAGCCCCGCCGUAAGCGUUGGGGAAACUCAGCUCGAAGAGACCUCGUUUGUAGUGCGACCUGCGCCAUCGCGGGAGACGAGUGUAACCGUUGUGAAGAGAAGCAAGCCUAUCGUCGUGCUGCUCAUGAGCCAGGAAGCGUAAGGGUCACGAUGUCCGUCUCACCUUGUCGUCGGGCCACUCCUACCGUUUCCGCCUGGCGUCCGCAAAGUCCGCUCUGGCCCCGACCCCAAUGUCCCAGGAGACGACAUUUAAGACUCUCGUAAAAAAAAUUGACAGACUACUCAGAUCGAGUACCGGCCGCCGGAGCGCGGACUCGAUCACAAUCGGUCGGGUACAAUUUAAGUAAGUUUACAACUAGCAAAGAGGGGAAGGAACGAGAAGAGGGGGGUGUACGGGACGAGAAAAUAAAAAUAAAUGUUUAUCGUCCUCCAACUACCGAACAGCCUAAGCGGUCACCGAACAUUAAACGUCUCUAACACUCACUCUUUACUUCUCCAUAUCGAAAGAAAGUAC
rnacentral:rRNA from 1 species